GGGGGCGUAGCCGAGCAAGGCCAAGGCGUCGGGCUCCAGACCCGAAGACCGUGGGUUCAAGUCCCACCGCCCCCA
rnacentral:tRNA from 3 species